rnacentral:rRNA from 1 species
AUUAAACGCUGGCGGCAUGCCUUACACAUGCAAGUCGAACGGCAGCACGGGGGCAACCCUGGUGGCGAGUGGCGGACGGGUGAGUAAAGCAUCGGAACGUAUCCUGGAGUGGGGGAUAACUUAGCGAAAGUUACGCUAAUACCGCAUAUUCUGUGAGCAGGAAAGCAGGGGAUCGCAAGACCUUGCGCUCUGGGAGCGGCCGAUGUCGGAUUAGCUAGUUGGUGGGGUAAAGGCCUACCAAGGCGACGAUCCGUAGCGGGUCUGAGAGGAUGAUCCGCCACACUGGGACUGAGACACGGCCCAGACUCCUACGGGAGGCAGCAGUGGGGAAUUUUGGACAAUGGGCGCAAGCCUGAUCCAGCCAUGCCGCGUGAGUGAAGAAGGCCUUCGGGUUGUAAAGCUCUUUCGGCGGGGAAGAAAUUGCACGGGUUAAUACCCUGUGUAGAUGACGGUACCCGAAUAAGAAGCACCGGCUAACUACGUG